UACGGGAGGCAGCAGUGGGGAAUAUUGCACAAUGGGCGCAAGCCUGAUGCAGCCAUGCCGCGUGUAUGAAAAAGGCCUUCGGGUUGUAAAGUACUUUCAGUCGUGAGGAAGGUGUUAAGGUUAAUAACCCUAGCAAUUGACGUUAGCGACAGAAGAAGCACCGGCUAACUCCGUGCCAGCAGCCGCGGUAAUACGGAGGGUGCGAGCGUUAAUCGGAAUUACUGGGCGUAAAGGGCACGCAGGCGGUUAAUUAAGUUGGAUGUGAAAUCCCCGGGCUUAACCUGGGAAUGGCAUUCAAGACUGGUUAGCUAGAGUCUUGUAGAGGGGGUAGAAUUCCAUGUGUAGCGGUGAAAUGCGUAGAGAUGUGGAGGAAUACCGGUGGCGAAGGCGGCCCCUGGACAAAGACUGACGCUCAUGUGCGAAAGCGUGGGGAGCAAACGAGGGAUUAGAUACC
rnacentral:rRNA from 1 species